rnacentral:rRNA from 1 species
AUUGAACGCUGGCGGCAUGCUUUACACAUGCAGGUCGAACGGUAACAGGGAGCUUGCUCCGCUGACGAGUGGCGAACGGGUGAGUAAUGCGUCGGAACGUGCCGAGUAGUGGGGGAUAACGCAUCGAAAGGUGUGCUAAUACCGCAUACGAACUGAGGUUGAAAGUGGGGGACCUUCGGGCCUCACGCUAUUCGAGCGGCCGACGUCUGAUUAGCUAGUUGGUGAGGUAAAGGCUCACCAAGGCGACGAUCAGUAGCGGGUCUGAGAGGAUGACCCGCAACACUGGGACUGAGACACGGCCCAGACUCCUACGGGAGGCAGCAGUGGGGAAUUUUGGACAAUGGGCGCAAGCCUGAUCCAGCCAUGCCGCGUGUCUGAAGAAGGCCUUCGGGUUGUAAAGGACUUUUGUCCGGGAGCAAAUGCUGGUGGCUAACAUCCACCGGAGCUGAGAGUACCGGAAGAAUAAGCACCGGCUAACUACGUGCCAGCCGCCGCUGUAAAAC